rnacentral:lncRNA from 1 species
UAAUUGUCACACUGAUUAUAGAAUUAUAUAUAAAACAAUGGCAGUGUAUAUCAGCAUAAAUUAGCAUAAAAAUGAACUUUGCACCCCAAAUAAUAGAAAUUCUAAAAUUUCACCAAAACAUAAUAAUAGAACCAGCUUGUAUACAUCAACAUACAGUAAAUAUAAAUAUUUGUGAAUAACUUCUUUUCCUUAAAAUAUGCCCCCUCCUUUUUUUCCAUGGCUACUUAUGUCAAAUAUCUUGUUUUAUUCUUUUUUUUUUUCUUUUCUUUUUAUCGAUCCAAAGAGGUGUACAUCAGUACAUACAAAACAUGCUUGAAAACUUGUAAUAUAAACAACCGAUAGAUCUAUUGGAAUAGUGCUUUAAAUUUUCGCGCAUUUUAACAUUUCUAUUUUAAGAAUAUGCGCAUGCGCAGUCGUUUUGUUGCCAAAGUUUGAAUAUCCGCUAAAGAGAUCACUGUGAUUCUACAUAGUUUUUAUCAAUAUUUUUCCUGUAUACAGCUUUUACAUUUUUAUCGUAAGUAUUUAAAGUAAUUGAUGUGAUUACGGUAUCGUAUUUAAGAAAUGUGAGCAUAACAUCAGCUAAUCAUGUUGUUAUGAAAACUGUACUGAAAUUUACACGAGGAAAAGGGGGGUGUUUUAUAGCAUGUUACCCAUUCCCAAGAUAUCUCCCAAGGUCUCAUGAAUUUUUUAUCAUUGACUAUUCAAAAUCAUCAUAUGAUUGAAUCAAAAGUAAAAAGAAAUUUAAAUCGUUAUUUACAUGAUCAAUUCAGUUACACUAAAUCUCCUAAAAGGGGGGCUUGUUUACAAAAUUGGGAUGGAAAGGUCAGAAGCUAUGCCUAUAUGACAUACCAAGUUGGACUUUUAAUAUUUUACUGUCAAAAUUGAAGUGGAGUUUUGGCAAGGUAAAUAUAUAUGAAGGGUAUAUGGGGGUAAAGAGUGUUUGGCCUUUUUAUUUCACAUGUUUUCAUGUUUUGACGUUUUAUUUCUCGUUUUCUUGUAUUUGGAUUCAUCGCACAUGUACGUUAUUUUUGUUUCCCCUUAUUCAUUUUCCGUGUUUUUGUGUUGGUACUCCUAAUUUUUCGUGUUUGUCCCACAUUCAAGAUAAUAAAAAAAAGGGACUCAAUGUCGAAGUCAGUUUGGAGAUUGUUUUGAAUU